rnacentral:rRNA from 1 species
AUACGGAGGAUGCGAGCGUUAUCCGGAUUUAUUGGGUUUAAAGGGUGCGCAGGCGGCCAUUUAAGUCAGCGGUUAAAUCGUGGGGCUCAACCCCAUUCUGCCGUUGAUACUGGGUGGCUUGAUUGCGGUCGAGGUUGGCGGAAUUCGUUGUGUAGCGGUGAAAUGCAUAGAUAUGACGAAGAACACCGAUUGCGUAGGCAGCUGACCAGACCGCAAAUGACGCUCAUGCACGAAAGUGCGGGGAUCGAACAGGAUUAGAUACCCUGGUAGUCCGCACAGUAAACGAUGAAUAUUUGUUUUCGGCGAUAUAAUGUCGGAGGCAAAGCGAAAGCGAUAAGUAUUCCACCUGGGGAGUACGCCGGCAACGGUGAAACUCAAAGGAAUUGACGGGG